GAGGAACGCACGCUGUCAGCUCGCUUGCUGACUUGACCAGUAGGGUCCGCAGUACACGCUGCCCGUUACACAGCGGGUUGGCGAGGCUACCCCUGGCAAGACUUCUGCCUUGCUUGGUCAUUACCUCUGCCACCUGGAUUCCCGCUGAGUGGCCGCCUGCCAGACCAACGGCGGAGAACUGAGGUCUUAGCCCUUGCUCUGCCACAAUGUCCAGAGAAAGGUGAGUAUCUCUGUGGCAGGGAAAGGGAGAAGGUGGUUUAGGGGCAAAGCCCCUCCCAACAAUCCCCAUUGGCUUUAUUUUUGCAGCGGUUCCGAGGAAUGCCAGGGGAAGGAGGAAUUUACCCAGGAUGUGAAGGAAGAUCAUGCUGAUCAGAAGGAAGAGCCAAACCCCGAUGAGCUUGUGAAUGGGAAGGAAGAGCCAAGCCAUGAUGAGCUUAUGAAUGGUAUACACGAGCGGAGCCCCGAUGUGCUUAUGAACGGCACACACGAGCCAAGCCCGGAUGAGCUCUUUGAUGGGGAGGAGGAUCCAAGUAUUGAUGAGCUUGUCUAUGGGGAUGAUGAUCCAAGCUUUGAUGAAGUUAUCUAUGAGGAGGGAGAUCCCAACCCUGAUGAGCUUGUCUGUGAGGAGGAAGGUGCCAGCUUAGAGGAGCUUGUCUGUGAGGAAGAAGACCCCCAUGCCGAUGAACUGAUCUGCCAAGAGGAGGAUCCUGACCCCGAUGAGCUUAUGUGUGAUGAGGGAGAUGAUGCCAUUGAUGAGGAAGAUGCCAAUCCCGAGGAGCUCAUCUGUGACGAGGAAGAUCCCAAUGCAGAGGAGCUCAUCUGUGAGGAAGAAGACCCAAACCCUGAUGAUCUUAUCUGUGAGGAGGAAAUCCCACACCCCGAUGAAGAGGAACUUAUUUGUGAGGAGGAAGACCCAAGUCCUAUUGAUCUCAUCUGUGAGGAGGAAGAUCCAAGCUUCCAUGAGCUCCUUUGUGGGGAGCAAGACCCAAGUCUCCAUGAGCUUUUUGAUGGGAGAGAUGAGCCAAGACCAAAUGGCAGGGAAGACCCAAGCCCUGAUGGCAGGGAAGACCCAAGCCCUGAUGGCAGGGAAGACCCAAAUCCUGAUAGCAGGCAAGAUCCAAGUGCUGGUGAGCUUUUUGAUGGGAAGAAAAAUCAAAGUCCCAGUGAGCAUGCGGAAGGGAAGGAGGAAAAAAGCCCUGAUGGGAAGGAAGAUGGAUGGAAUGGGAAAGAGGAAGAGAACAAGAAGAGGGGGAUUGAACCUGGAAGACAGCAAAGUGGUAGCGGCUCAACAGAAUCCUCCCGCUCCCGGAAAAGAAAGGCAGAUGUAGCUGUGUUUUUGCUGGAUCCAGAUGAAGUAUUGGCCAAAAGGGAAACAAUUGGAAGAACUGCGGUCAGGAUACCGGUAAGCUUCAUAGUCCGCAAGCAUGAUCCUUGUUAUUUCCUGAUAUUGACAA
rnacentral:lncRNA from 1 species